CCCGCCCGCCCGCCGCCUCAGCAAAGCCUGCAUGCUGAUGAAGUGUUGUGCACGGAUUGGCGGACGGCUCAGUGAUAGCACGACAUCUGAUUGGCAUUUUGCCGUAACUUCGGGAAACUGCAGCUAGGGGCUUUUUGGAUGAGUUUUGAUUGUGGCAAGUGAGUUGUGGGCCUAUCAGCUGGUAGUUAGGGUAAUGGCCUAACUAGGCGGAGACGGGAGACGGGGGAUGUGGGUUUGAUUUCGGUUACGGAGCCUGAUCGAUGGCUACUACCUUCAAGGUUGGCAGCAGGCGCGAAACUUGCCUAAUUCCUGUCGGACGCGGCCACGAGAAGUGAGUUUGUAGCUACUGUUUGGUAUUGCC
rnacentral:rRNA from 1 species